AGCUUUGCGCAGUGGCAGUAUCGUAGCCAAUGAGGUUUAUCCGAGGCGCGAUUAUUGCUAAUUGAAAAAACUAAUAUGUUUUUGACAUUAUUUAAACAUUUUAAUUUAUGUACUAUGCAUUUUUUAUUUUACAUAAAA